GGCCAAAUCUUUAUUUUUAAAAUAGUUUUAGAAACGUUUAACUCUAUUUGUCUAAAUCAUAUAUCUAGCAAGAAUAUGCAUUCUGAACUCUCCUCAUCUUUACUCAUAAAGGCUUGCGUCAUUUUGUUCUCAGAUCUCCCGAGGAAGCUGCAGAGCUGGGGGAGUCUGUUGAAGAGUGGGUGGGGGUUUUGGAAGCGGAUCCCAACAUACAAUGAACGUAGAGUGAGAAUUACAUACUGCACUGGAAAUUCUAGGCCUUUUAUAUAUGGACUUGUUUGCACUGACAGUCUCUGGCACCUUCUAAAAUUUGCUGUGAUUCUACCUCAGGGUUUGGGAUGAAAACAUCUUGAAUUUAAUUUGCAUCUGUGUCCCUCUGAAAUAAUUAAAAAUUCUUUUGUAUUCAACUUAGGUCACUGUGUACCCAGUGGCAUUAUUUAUACACAUGAUAGCAUCCCUUUCUUCGAGGCUUGGUGGAAGACAGACCACAUUGCUUUUUCCAGACACUUCAGGCAUAUGGUCGCUUGUGCUUCACAAGGGGUUUCUAGCACGCAGGGUUUUGCAAUGCCCUUGCUUUUCAAUGUUUGGGAUGGUUUCUUCAGAAUGCAGACCUGAGCAGGAAGGACAGGCAGGCACUUCUGUCAAUGGUAAAGCAGGAGUUUAAGGAAUGGUCUGCUGUAAUGGGGUAAAAACGAUCGUGCUGGCUGUAUUCAAACAGCUGCCUGAGACUGAGACUGGCUCUCCAUGCUCAUCUCCGACUUCCAAGACUGAGGGACAAACACUGCCUUCUGUGGUGCUCUCAGCAAGCCUUGGAAACACAUCUUCAUUCCGGUUUUCAAAGAACAGAGGCUAAUAAACACAUCAGGCUGUAUUUAAGACAGAGAAAUACUCUGUAGCUCAGGCUGGACUGGAAAUCAUGAUAAUCCUCCUGCUUCAGCUUCCCAACUGUGAAGAUUACCGGAGUGAGCUACCAGGCAAGAAUUCUUCUCAUCUAUCUCUAUUGAUAUUUUCUCUUUAUGUUGCUCUGGCUAUCCUAGAACUUGCUAUGGAGAUCAGGCUGGCUUCUAACUCACAGAGAUUCGCCUGCCUCUGCCUCUAGAUUAUUGGAUUAAAGGCAUGUAUGCAGUACCAUGCCAUGCCUAGCUAGCCUUUAUAUUUCUACUGUUUCUUUUCUCCCCCACCCCAAGCCUGCUUUUAACUUCCUCUUCUCUCCCCAUGCUUGUACAUGGUGCACACCAUCAUGCUCAGUAGUAAUUUGUAUUUUCUUUUUCCUUAAUUUUUUUUUUGUGUAUAUAUGUGUGCCCAAAUGUAUAUAUGUAUGUACAGGUACCUAAGAAGGCCAGAAAAGGGCACUGGAUCCCAUGGAGAUAGUUACAGGCAGUUAUGUCCUAUCCAAUACAGGUGCUGGAAACAAAACAGGGUCUAUUGAAAAAGUGGCAAGUGCUCUUAAUUGCUGAGCCAUCUCUCCAGCCCUGUAAUUUAUAUUUUCUCUCUAGUUUUUUUUUUUUUUUUUUGGCUAGUAUUUCCCUCAUCCAAAAACCACAUAGUAAUUCCUUCUAUUAAUGAAAGAAUAGGUUGAGCUGGAGAGAUGGCUCAGUGGUUAAGAGCACUGACUGCUCUUCCAAAGGUCCUGAGUUCAAAUCCCAGCAACCACAUGGUGGCUCACAACCACCUUAAUGAGACCUGAUGCCCUCUCCUGGGGUGUGUGAAGACAGCUACAGUGUAAUUACCUAUAAUAAAUAAAUAAAUUAAAAAAAGAAUAGGUUUAUGUAUCUAAGAAGUAGGGUAAUUAAAAUGUGUCAGGAAUUCCUGACCGCCUUUUGUUUUACCCUGUAUUAUCUAACAAACUGGAUUUUUACUUUAAUAUUCCACUGAAAUGCUCUGAUAGUGCUAACUUCCUAAUAAAAUAUCCAUUUCUCAUCAGCAGUCUAGCUAUGCUGCAUCCCAGCAUCUAUGACAGAAACAUGGAAGAGUUUCUGCAGAUUACCACAGACACAAGAAGGGAAGCUAUCAUCAACUGCAGAGGGAGGUAACUUUAAAGUCAGAACUGCGCCACCACAGCUGCGUCACCACAGUGGGGUUCUAAGCUAGUAAUCCUUUCUCAGAUCACGGAAUGAAUACUGGUGGGCCAGACUUUGUUUUUUGUUUUUUUUUCCAGACAGGGUUUCUCUGUGUAGCCCUGGCUGUCCUGGAACUCACUCUGUAGACCAGGCUGGACUCGAACUCAGAGAUCCGCCUGCCUCUGCCUCCCGAGUGCUGGGAUUAAAGGCGUGGGCCACCACGCCCGGCUUGGUUCAGACUUCUAUAACCUUUUAAGAAAAUUACUUUCAUAAUGACCAGCGUAAAACAGAAUCAGAGACAUGAACUAGAUUACAUUUUAUAAUAAUAGUAAUAAAAAAUAGCCAUGCAAGGUAGCCCAUCCCUUUAAGCCCAGACAGAAUUCUGUGACUUCAAGGACAGCCGGGUUUACAUGAAGUGAGUUACAGGCUAGCCAGGGCUAGCCAGGGCUACCGAGUAAGACCCUCAUUCAACAGAAGCAGCAGCAGCAGCACCAGCAACAAAAGAUGCCCAAAAACACCCCAAAACAAAAACAAAAACAAACAAGCAACUCAAACAGAAAAAUAAGAAAAGGUUGAGUCUUCCUCCUGUGGUCUAGGCUGACAUAGCUCAUUCUAACUACUUUCCAUAGAGUGAAGAACAAGAAACAACAUUCCGACUUCAGAGCUUAAUUACUAACUGGUUCAAAUGCUCUCUCUUGCCACAGGCAAGCCUGACUCUGAGGUCAAACAUCAAGUUAACUGUUGUUAGGAGACAGCGAAGAAGAGCAUGGAACAUUCUGUAACUGGUGAAAAGUCCCUGUUCCAGCCAAGCCCAUCCCCCAGCCCUCGAGUUCAAUGACUGAGUUAUGGAAACUUCUCCUGUGUGGUAAAACUGGGGACUUUGUCUUCCAAUCAGACCCUGGCAAGCUGACAACAAGCCAAUGUUCUGCAUAUGGCUUAUUGCAAGUCACAGGCUUAAUGUUAUUUUCUGGGAAUUCUUAGCCUCUAUUUGGUGAGAAUUCCGGAACAUGUCAUUUUAUAAUUACAAUUUUUAUCAUUUGGUUCUGUACUUUAAGAAAUAUUCACAGGUCUCACGUAUUUCUUACAAUGUAAGUCUACAAUGAAUUAAAAAUCAGGUUUAUGUCAUCACAGUAAUAGGGAACAAGACGUUAACACUGCCUUUCAAGCUCUCAGGUUUGCUGGUGCUUUGGCUCUGACUUUCCCUCUGACGUACUCAGAGAGUACAAACCAAUGCACAAGCAACAUCUUUAAAAACAACAGAAUUCUGUCCCUGCCCACCUGCUAAGAAACACACCAUAAAUUAGAAAGCUAUUUUCUAUAUUCUAAUCUUUCAGAAUUUGUAAGUGGUCCACUAUAUCUGAUUAUUUAUAGAGUAUAACUUAGAUCUAUCUACUGAUUUAGAUAAUAAGGACAUUUUCCCUUAAACCUAUUGACAUUAGCAACUACUUUCUAGAAUUGCCCUAGAAAUAAAGCUGUUAAUUAUGAUUGGGGAAUAGGCAUUAUUGAACUUAGGGUGUCAUGUUUAGCUAGGCUGUUCCAUACUUAUAUUAAGAAUAGCAGUCCACUGGGGCUGGAGAGGCGGCUCAGUGGUUAAGAGUACUGGCUGUUCUUCCAGAGAAUCUGAGCUGAGCUUCUCGCACACAGGCAAAUGACCAUCUGUAACUCCAGCUCCAAGGACUCUGACACCUUCCAGUCUCCACUGUCACUUAAACACAUGUGGUAUUUACUCACAAAGAUAUACACACAUACACGUAAGUAAAAAUAUCAAGGUCAGCCUGGUGUAUAUUGUGAAUUCUAGGCAGCCACAAUGCAUAGUUGAGAGAAAGUUACAAAAGAAAAGAAAAGAAAAGAAAAGAAAGGAAGGAAGGAAGGAAGGAAGGAAAGAGUUUAAGAUCAUUCUGAGUUGAACCAGACAAACCUGAGCUACAUGAACCCAUGCAUUCAGGAUUUAGGGUUAUAUUUAUUAUUUUUGUUACAGUGCUAAAUAUCCCCUGUAAACACUCUACCACAGAGCUACAGCUACAGCCAUAUUGGUAAUUUUCAUUUUGAACACUUAUAUUUUAAAACAUCUAGGCAGGCCUCGUUAAUCCUAGCAUUUGGGAGACAAAGGCAGGUGGAUCUCUGUGAGUUUGAGGUCAGCCUGGUCUACAGAGCUAGUUCAAGGAAAGUCAAGGCUACACAAAGAAACCCUGUCUCAAAAAAAUAAGAAGUAAAUAAAUUAAAAAAAAAAACAAAACAACCCAAAGCCAGAGAACAUUUCCUAUUUGAGCUAGGCAUGGAGGUACUUGCUUUUAAUAUUAGCAGGUGUAGAGGUAUGCUGAUCUCGGUGAGCUUGAAGACAGCCAGAGUUAUGAAUAGAGAUGCUGUCUCAAAAGACAAAACAAAGCAACAAUGUCUUGUUUCAAAGUGUAGGAAAACAAAUUUUGUCAUGAUUGGUGAGAGACUGUGAUUAUAAUUUAAUUACUGACAAAAUACUAAAAACUCUUUUGGUAUCUGAUGUUGAAGCCAAAUCUAAUUAACUUAUAUUAUUUAAAGAUUUGUUUAUUUAACCACUCAGCUAUAACACACACACACGUAAUUUAGACAAAGUUUCUCUGUGUAGCCCUGGUUGUCCUAGAACUAACUCUGUAGACCAGGCUAUCCUUGAACUCAGAAAUUUGGUGACUACCUCCCGGGUGCUAGGAUCAAAGGCAGGAUUACAGGCAUGUGCGGGCUUAUAUAUACUAAUGAAUAAUGUGCACGCAUAUGUGUCAGCAUGUACGUAUGUGCACUCAGACAGGUGCCCUCAGAGGUCAAAGGCCUGGAGUGAGUCCCUUGGAGCUGGAGUUGCAGGUGGUUACAAGUCAUCAAUGUGCGUGUUUAAGCCAGAGCUAUUUCUCCAGUCCCUCACUAGGAUUCUUUUGGGGACCAUGCUAAUGCAGUUUAAAA